rnacentral:rRNA from 1 species
UACGUAGGGGGCAAGCGUUGUCCGGAAUCAUUGAGCGUAAAGCGCGUGUAGGCGGCUCGAUAAGUCUGCUGUGAAAGUUCAGGGCUCAACCCUGAAAUGCCGGUGGAAACUGUCGAGCUAGAGUACGGAAGAGGUGAGUGGAAUUCCUGGUGUAGCGGUGAAAUGCGCAGAUAUCAGGAGGAACACCAAUGGCGAAGGCAGCUCACUGGGACGUUACUGACGCUGAGACGCGAAAGCGUGGGGAGCAAACAGG